rnacentral:rRNA from 1 species
UUGAAUUGAAGAGUUUGAUCAUGGCUCAGAUUGAACGCUGGCGGCAGGCUUAACACAUGCAAGUCGAACGGUAGCAGGAAGAGAGCUUGCUUUCUUUGCUGACGAGUGGCGGACGGGUGAGUAAUGCUUGGGAAUCUGGCUUAUGGAGGGGGAUAACUACGGGAAACUGUAGCUAAUA